rnacentral:rRNA from 1 species
CGAGAGGUGCAAGCGUUAUUCGGAAUCAUUGGGCGUAAAGGGUGCGUAGGCGGUAUGAUAAGUCUGUUGUUAAAUAUCCUGGCCUAACCAGGAAAAUGCAAUGGAAACUAUUGUUCUAGAGGGUGAGAGAGAGAAGUGGAAUUCCAGGAGUUAGCGGUCAAAUGCGUAGAUCUCUGGAGGAACACCGAUGGCGAAGGCAGCUUCUUGGCUCAUUCCUGACGCUAAUGCACGAAAGCGUGGGGAGCAAACAGGAUUAGAUACCCUGGUAGUCCACGCCGUAAACGAUGAUCACUAGAUGUUGGUUCGGUUUAUCGAAUCAGUGUCGUAGCUAACGCGUUAAGUGAUUCGCCUGGGAAGUACGGUCGCAAGACUA